rnacentral:piRNA from 1 species
UAGGAGUGCACUUGACCUUUCUAGAAGGC